AUUGCCAAUACCGUAGUGACCUGCGGAGGAUCAUUACCGAGUGCGGGCCCUCUGGGGGGAACCUCCCAUCCGUGUCUAUCUGUACCCUGUUGCUUCGGCGUGGCCACGGCCCGCCGGAGACUAACAUUUGAACGCUGUCUGAAGUUUGCAGUCUGAGUUUUUAGUUAAACAAUCGUUAAAACUUUCAACAACGGAUCUCUUGGUUCCGGCAUCGAUGAAGAACGCAGCGAAAUGCGAUAAUUAAUGUGAAUUGCAGAAUUCAGUGAAUCAUCGAGUCUUUGAACGCACAUUGCGCCCCCUGGUAUUCCGGGGGGCAUGCCUGUCCGAGCGUCAUUGCUGCCCUCAAGCACGGCUUGUGUGUUGGGCUUCCGUCCCUGGCAACGGGGACGGGCCCAAAAGGCAGGGGGGGCACCAUGUCUGGUCCUCGAGCGUAUGGGGCUUUGUCACCCGCUCCCGUAGGUCCAGCUGGCAGCUAGCCUCGCAACCAAUCUUUUUAACCAGGUUGACCUCGGAUCAGGUAGGGAUACCCGCUGAACUUAAGCAUAUCAAUAAGCGGAGAGAAAUUCAA
rnacentral:rRNA from 1 species